AGAGUUUGAUCCUGGCUCAGAUUGAACGCUGGCGGCAGGCUUAACACAUGCAAGUCGAGCGGUAACAGAGAGGAGCUUGCUUCUCUGCUGACGAGCGGCGGACGGGUGAGUAAUGCCUGGGAAUCUGCCUGAUAGUGGGGGAUAACUUGCCGAAAGGUAAGCUAAUACCGCGUACGUCCUACGGGAGAAAGCAGGGGAUCUUCGGACCUUGCGCUAUCAGAUGAGCCCAGGCCGGAUUAGCUAGUUGGUGGGGUAAUGGCCCACCAAGGCGACGAUCCAUAGCUGGUCUGAGAGGAUGAUCAGCCACACCGGGACUGAGACACGGCCCGGACUCCUACGGGAGGCAGCAGUGGGGAAUAUUGGACAAUGGGGGGAACCCUGAUCCAGCCAUGCCGCGUGUGUGAAGAAGGUCUUCGGAUUGUAAAGCACUUUAAGUUGGGAGGAAGGGUUUUUGGUUAAUACCCAAGAAUUUUGACGUUACCAACAGAAUAAGCACCGGCUAACUUCGUGCCAGCAGCCGCGGUAAUACGAAGGGUGCAAGCGUUAAUCGGAAUUACUGGGCGUAAAGCGCGCGUAGGUGGUUUGUUAAGUUGGAAGUGAAAGCCCCGGGCUUAACCUGGGAAUGGCUUUCAAAACUGGCGAGCUAGAGUACGGUAGAGGGUAGUGGAAUUUCCUGUGUAGCGGUGAAAUGCGUAGAUAUAGGAAGGAACAUCAGUGGCGAAGGCGACUACCUGGACUGAUACUGACACUGAGGUGCGAAAGCGUGGGGAGCAAACAGGAUUAGAUACCCUGGUAGUCCACGCCGUAAACGAUGUCAACUAGUUGUUGGGGGCCUUGUGUCCUUAGUAACGCAGCUAACGCCAUUUAGUUGACCGCCUGGGGAGUACGGCCGCAGGUUAAACUCAAUGAAUUGGCGGGGGCCCGCCCAGCGGGGGAGCAUGUGGUUUAAUUCAAGCAACCCCAAGAACCCUACCUGGCCUUUGACAUGUACCAAAUUUCCAGAAAUGAUUGGGGGCCUUCCGGAAACC
rnacentral:rRNA from 1 species